rnacentral:lncRNA from 13 species
CUGGCUGCAAACAAUGCAUGACAAUUUGAGAACUUGUUGCAACUGAGUGACAUCCGUUUCACAACUAUACAGAACUGUAGCAGAGGAGAACAGGAUGAAUUCCUGGGCAACAGUUGUUCUCCUGAGACAUGCCCAAGGCUAGGAGAAGAGGAGGAUAAAAGUGGGUGUCAGAUGAUCACAGUGUAAGGACAAGCCUUACUGGACAGACCUUAUUUCAGCUGGAUUUCUACAAGGUGUAGCCCCAAGCACAGGUGGGUAUUUAAUAAGUAUCUGAUUAGUCUGCAAUUCCAUAUUAUGUCAGUAGAGACAUAAUUUAUUAACAUGGGCUCCUGGCAUCCUUCCAGUGCAUGUAUAAUAGAAUGACAUUUUUCAUGCAGAAAUAUAAAUUAAAUUAAUUGGCAUCCAUACUUAAUUGAAACUUCCUUGACAGUAGAUGGAUUCUCCCCUAACACCACCCCUUUCUUGGCAAGGGGCAUUUCCUUCUGAGUGCCUGCAGACUAAGAGAGGCCAGCCCCCAUUCCUGCGGCUCCCUGGGGAGCUGGCUUUCAGCAGGGUUUAGAGCAGCACGAAAAGUGAACUGACCCUGGAAAAAUGGUGUCUGAGGCCCUGUAUGAAUGGAUAUAGAAAGAGCAGGCUUGGAGAUGCCAGUGUCAGCAUUCACAAAGCCGUCUUCCUGGAACGAACACCUUCAAUUAUAGAAGGCAUCAAACAACAAGGGCUGGUCUCGAACUCCUGGGCUCUGGUGAUUUGCCUGCCUUGGCCUCGAAAAGUGC